CUGUUUUUUGUUCCUUCUCUUUUGAAAUCUCUAGCCAACAAGAACAUUAGUCAUGACAAGCAUGCCAUCUGAAACACAGAACAUCGUCAUCCAGGUUGUGAACACAUUGAAGGGCUUUUCACUUGCCCAGGAAGUGUGUGAAACUACUACCCAUGUGCUCGCUGGCAAGCCUCUGCGCACUCUGAAUGUGCUGCUGGGAAUUGCCCGUGGCUGCUGGGUUCUCUCUUACGAGUGGGUACUGUGGUCUUUGGAGCUGGGUCAUUGGAUUUCCGAGGAGCCGUUUGAACUUUCUAACUACUUCCCCGCAGCUCCUCUCUGCCGCCUGGAGCGCUACUUAUCUGCGGGACAGUACCAGGGAACCCUGUUUGCCGACCAGCCUGUGAUGUUCAUCACCCCGGCCAGCAACCCCCCCAGAACCAAGCUAUGGGAACUGGUCCUCCUCUGUGGGGGUCAGAUCACGAGAAUCCCACGCCAGGCCGGCAUCUUCAUCGGACCCUCCCAAGGAAGGAGGAGGGCGACCGUCAAGUAUCUGUCAGAAACAUGGAUCUUAGAGUGGUGAAAUCCUCACCCGUGAGGUGAGUCCCCCUGACUCUGGCCACUGCCCCGGUCUGCACCCAGUCCUCUGUGGUGAGAUUCCAUCACUCAGCACCAGGUCUGUGCCUCUGAAAACUACCUGUUGCUUCAGUGAUGGAGCCAUCAGUCAGCACAUGGCUACCGCCACCGGCUCGCAACGUUGUCUUUGGACAUUCAAAUGAGCAAACCCUGACGAGAAGGAAAGGACACAACACGAUGCCUUUUGACACCAUCACCUGUUUGCCUUGUGUGCCUUGUGGUUUUUACAUAAAGAAGCUCCUUUGUGUGACUUUCUGAUGACUGAAUGUGUUUUAAAGAAGCACUGCCAGCCUAUAGGGGCCUUUUCUGUAUAAUGCCAAUCUUAGUAUUGUGAUAACGAUCAUGAUUAAAAGCUCACAGAACCUUGGUCAUUAAAGCACCCAUAGUGUUAAAUAAAGACUGGGAAUUAAAUUGUUUGAUUAGUGAGAUCCAACAACCCCCAAAGUUUCUUGGUUGGACUCUAACAUCUUUAUUGGCGUACCAUACACUAACUAUGAAGGAUGUUGAUCAGUUUAUUAGAUUUUUGUCAAAGUAAUGAAUGAAGACAGGUGUAGGAGCUUUGCAAUAAUUAAUGCCACCAGAGGAUCUCCAAUUCUCCAAGUUAGUGUUUGGUGAGGACAACAUUACCAACAAGAGAUCGUGGCCUUCACUGGCUGCCACAAUGCUUGGCUUUCCUUAGAGGAAAUCGGCAGUGGGACUGAAUCAUUACACGUGGACCCAUCACCUUCUAUAGGAGAGAAGUGCUACAUCCCAACAAGGCUGAAGGUGCCACUAAGACUCCCUCCUGAUCCUGUUCCCUCCCCAUGCUAUCUCUUCCUCAUCUCACCUGUUAUUCCUACCUUAACAAAUUUCCAGCCCCUCAGUGGAACAACUUCUAGAAUAAACCGUCAAGGAAGGAGAUAGAAAUGUGCAGGGAAAAUAAUGAAGGGUUUUCUCUUAAUUUUGAUAUAAUAUAUGCCCCAAAUAAUCCCCUCGUAUUACUCAUGCCCCAACAACAGUCAUUCCUCAGUACAACUCCACUCCUUCCACGUUAUAAACCUUGUUUCACUAUAUCCAUGGGAGUGCUGGGUUUGGCUACUUUGAACCUCAGGUACUUUGGCAGAGCUCUCACAACACCAAAAAUUCCUGAAGAGGCUGACAAAAACCGUGCUGACGCUUGCUGUGGAUCAUCCCCUACCGCUAUAGGCCACCGACAACCACCCAUCCCCAGUGUCAAGUCCUGAUUCCCAAUGCUGGCCUGCCAGUGGUCAGCCAAGAUUCUCUUUCUAUACAGCAACAUUUUAUGAGGGUACUGAUUUGUGUCAGGAAUUACACUAAGCAUCUUCUAUGUGGUUUCUCAUUUAACCCUAACACCCUUAAAAGUUAGUUGCUACAGAUUUGCAAUCCCUUACCUGAAACACACAGAGUUAAGAGUAUCUCAGAAUUCUUUUUUUUAUUUAAAAGUUUUUUAAUAUUUAUUUUUGAGAGAGAACACGAGCAGGGGAGGGGCAGAGAGAGGGAGACACAGAAUCCAAAGCAGGAGACACAAAUCCAAUCCAGGCUUUGAGCUGUCAGCACAGAGCUUGAUACAGGGCUCAAGCCCAUAAGUCAUGAGAUCAUGACCUGAGCCAAAGUCGGACACUUAACUGACUGAGCCACCCAGGUGCCCCAAGAGUAUCUCAGAAUUCUUUUUUUUUUUUUUAAUUUUGAAAGGCAGGUGGCUCUCACCAUUUCCAUGUAAGAUUGUAUUGCUCAGUAUACCAAGAGAAGGCAGCAAGAAAAAAGAAGGCAUGCAGACUGGAAAUGAAGAAGUAAAACUAUUUUCAGAUCACAGGAUACUACAUGUAGAAAAUUAUAAGGAAACAAAUACAGAGCACGUUUAGCAAGGUUACAGUGUAUGAAAUUUACAUAACUAGCUGAAUUGUAUUUCUGUUUGCUGCAAUAAACAAUUCACAAAUGGAAUUAAGAAUACAUUUCCAACACUGAGAAAGGCUUAUUGAGAAGAUGGCAGAGUAGUAUGGGGACCCUGAGCUUGUCUCAUCCCUGAAACUCAGCUACAUCAGCACCAACCCAUUUUGAACACCUAAGAAAUUGAGGAAUAACACAAUAAUCUGCAAAACUUGAGCCACAAAACUCAGGAGGUAUGCUGUGUGGAGAGAUGAACUGGGGGAGAGAAAAGCCGCAGAGGGUAGGAAGUCCUUUUCUCAGAGAGAGGACAGAGGGAAAAAAAAAAAAAAAGAAAGGGGGAGUCCAUCGCAUUGGUACCAUGCAAGAAAAGCACUUCCCCAAAAGGUAGCUGGAGAGAAAGAGUGAAAACACUCACAGGGGACUGAACAAGAAAUCUGUUACCCAAAACCAUUGACGGGAAGAAAGGAGAGGGUUUCAAUACCACAGGAUUCUAUAAACAGUGGAGGAGAGUCUGAACUUCCACAACUCAGUGCCUGGUGGUGCUCUGGUGAGGAAGCAGGGCGAAUCCUCAGGAACAGGCAGCAGAGUCUGAGGGGCCAUGUGCCACAUGGGGAGAAGCGGUUCCCCUGAUUGGAGGGCAUGUGGUAGAGGCUAUACGGCCUCCCCACAAAGAUCCCAGGAGACUCCAGAGAACAGUCACAUUUGCUGGUACUGGAACAAAGAUGUCAGAGUGUGGUGAAUCCCGGCGCCAGCUGUGUGUUGUGAUUUGCCAUAAUCUCUGAACCUCUGCUUCUGUGCAAUCGCAUGAAUGUUUUCUGGGGCAAGCUGGUACCCAGCCAUUGCUCAGUGAGACCCUCCCCCAGAGAGUUGGCAAGAGUCCAAGCCACGGGGGUCUCUGAAGUUAGGGGUGUUGAAACACAGCCCCAUCUGAGAUAAAACUCUGGAGGGAGGUGCUGCCUGGCAGGCGGUCAGCUUGGACACAGACAGGGUAGAGGUGGGGAAUAGAUGGAGGCCUCAGACAAAGGAAGGGUGCUUGAUCCCGGGUCAGUGAGAGCACAAAGUUCCUGUGCCAGAGACUAGGUUGCUGAGUGAAGCCAUUUCCACCUCUCCUGCACAAGCACAUGUGCGCGCGCGUGCACACACACACGUACGUGCACCACACUGAUCCACCCCAGUAAGCUAAGCAGCACCACCUUGUGGAGAACGGAGCCAUUACACCAAGCCCCACCCACCUGCACCCUCCAGACACAUCCCCCAGAAGACCAGGAUAAGUUCUCCAUCUGCUUAUUGUAUGCAUUAUAGAGGGCCUCACGGUUUCAGUUCUAGGGGAAACUGGAUAUAACUUCAUUUGAGUUUCAUUCUGUUUGCUGGUCUGUUUAUUUGUUUACUUUGCUUCUGUUUUUGAUGUUUUUCUUUUUCUUGGAUACAGAAAGGGCAAAUUCUUUUUUUAUUUUUUCCUUUAUUUUUUCUAUCUUUUCUUCUAUUUUCUUUAAAUUUUUCUUUAAUUUUUAAAUAUUGUUUAACUUUUUUUUCCUUUCUCUUUUUUGUCUAGUCUUUCAAGCUUCCCUCAACAAACAGACUGAAACACACCUAAGGCUCUAACUUCCUUUAUUUGAUUUUUUGUUUUGUUUUUUAUUUUUUAAUUUUUCUUUUUUCUUUUGUUCAUCUUUUUCUUCUUCCAAAAGGACAAGAUGGAAGAAUUCACCCCAAAAUGACAGCCAGAGAUUUCACCAACACAGAUGUGAGUAAGAUGUCUCACUAGAAUUUGAAACCAUGAUUAUAAGAAUACUACCUGGGAUUGAAAAAAGUAUAGAAGACAUUGGCAAAUCCCUUUCUGCGGAGAUGAAAGAAGAAAAAUCUAAUCAGGCCAAAAUAAAAAAAUGCUAUAACUGAGAUGCAAUCUUGAAUGGAUGUUGUGAUGGCAAGGAUGGACAAAGCAGAGCAGUGAAUCACUGAAAUAGAAGACAAAAUUAUGGAAAAUAAUGAAGCAGAAAAAAAGAAAGAAAGUCCAAAGAUAACAAUACAAGACUUAGAGAACUCAGUGACUUAUUAAAAAGGAAUAGUAUUCAAAUCAUAGGAGUCCCAGAAGAAGAAAAAAGAGAAAAAGGGACAGAAAGUUUAUGUGAGCAAAUUAUAGCACAAAACUCUCCUAAUCCGGGGAAGACACAGACAUCAAAAUCCAAGAAGCACAGAGAACUCGCAUCAUUAGAUUCCACAAAAACUGGCCGUCACCAACCAUAUCAUAGUCAAAUUCACAAAAAUACACAGACAAGGAAAGAAUCUUGAAAGUAACAAUAGGAAAAAAAGUCCUUGCAGCAGACCUAUCCACAGGAACUCAGCAGGAUAGAAAGGAAUGGUAGGAUAUAUUCAACGUGCUGAAAAAGAAAAAUAUGCAGUCAAGAAUUCCUUAUCCAGCAAGGCUGUCAUUCAAAAUAGGAGAGAUAAAGGGUUUCCUAGACCAAAAAAAAAAAAAAAAAAUACUAAAGGAAUUCAUGACCACUAAAC